CGCCUCCGCGCAUGCGCCCUAACUCUAAACGCGAAGGGAAGUCACUCACGGAUGCCGGACCCUCAUGGAGCCAUCUGAUGCUGAAGGCCCUUCCCGGGCCCCUGAAUCUUCAUUGACUCUCAGAACAGACCUGUGCAGACGUCCAUCCUGGAGAAGAGAAAUAACGCACCUGUGGUCACCGCGUGAACAGCAGCUCAGCCCCCCGGGCCUCCGAAGACCCCAUCUGCCAGGUCACCAGCACUGCUCAGAGCAAAACAGGGCAGAUGAGUAACAGCAAAGCUGGAGACAGUGAGAGGCAGACUGAGAAAAGACAAAGCAAAGCAAGAGGAGAUGGACAUGUCAGCCACGAUUGAUUCUGGGAGCAACGGGACUAAAGUCGUUUUCUUUUCUCUUAAACUCUUUCUGAAUCUUCCAGAUUUUCUGUUUUACAAACCUUUGCUUGAAAGCAUUACCAUAGAAAACUCUUUGAAGGAAAAAAAUAAUCAGUAGCAUUUUAUGAAUGUACCUCCAUCCAAUCCCUCCUUUUCUGUUUUUUCAGGUUUGAAAGUUUUUCUAUUGUUUGAGUUUAUAAGUGACAAAUUUUGGUAACCAACUUUUCUAGAAAAAAAAAAUGAGAGUUUAAAGAUGCAUUCAGUUUCCACUCUGGAACUAUUUAGUUUAAGGAUUUCAUGUAGUGUAGUGUUAGCUGCUCGGUGGUGUCCAACUCUGCAACUCCAUGGACUGUAGCCCAUCGGGUUCCUCUGUCCAUAGAAUCCUCUAGGAAAGAAUAUCAGAGUGGGUAGACAUCCCCUUCUCCAGGGGAUGGUCCUGACCCAGAGAUCAAACCCUGGUCUCUAGCAUUGCAGGCAGAUUCUUUACCAUCUGAGCCACAAGAGAAGCCCACUUUAAAGGACAAUUGCCUGAUAACUUCUAUAAACAUCAGAGUGCAUUGUUUGGAAAUAUUUUUUUAUGGAUAGUUUUUAUUUCACUUACACAAUUGUAAAGUUUUAUCUCUUCAGGGACUAAACUGCAUUUAGGGAGCUGAGUUUGCCCUGAGACACCAUUUCAGGGCAACCCUCUCAUUUGUCUAUUCUUAGCUUCAUUGAAGGUUUUAAAAAUAAAAUUUUAAACUGCAGCUUCA
rnacentral:lncRNA from 1 species